CCAUUUAUGUGGAAAUGCAAAUAAUAUAUCGGUGUUCAUUAAAAAGUUUGAAUGGCUUAUAGGUAAUGCUAACUGUCUUCCAUAAUUGACACCUGAUAAGAUCCUUAAGCUUAAGCAGCUGACGGUUCUUACACUCGCUGAGACGUGAAUGUUAUGGAAUCUCAGAAAUAUGGUUCGGGAAAUGCUCAAUCUACAGAAAGGGAAAUCAUGGCUUCAAGGAGGCUAGAAGCUGAUCGUUUCUUUACGACAAACUUUAAUGCGAAAACAUACACAAAGGCUUCAAUCUGAAAGGGUAGAAAGGAUUAAGCAAAUAAAGGAGGCCACAAUUGGUUAAAGGGAAUAUGCAUGUUUUCUCUGUGGAUCAGCAACGCUGUCAGGGUCUUGGACUAAGUCUUAUCACUACUGCUCAAUUGUGGCUUACGGGUGCUGCUGGAGUGUUUUAAGCAUGUCGCAUAUCAGAUGCAAUUUGAACUCGGGUAUUGUUAUUUAAACACAGUUCCUUACAGAUGUUCUUUACAAAUGCAAUUUGUUUAGAUUGGGUGCAAAGUAGUAUGAGCAGGCUAUCAGGUAUAAGAAAGGUUCAUUUGUUACUUCCGAUGGAGCGUUGGCAACACUUUAUGGUGUUAACAGGUCGUUCUC